ACCCUGAUGCAAGGCCUACGUUCAGACCUAGAAAAAUAGUAAGGGAAUAUGAGGCAAAACAUGCUAUUUCAGAGCAAAGUCUUUCCUCUAAUGCUAGGUUGAAAGCUAAGCAAGUAAAGGUUUACGGAGCAGAACGUAGUAUAUCAGAGCAACAAUCCUCCAAAUCUACAUUCAAAACUGAACAUAUUCCAAGUGUAGGCAUAUAUGGAGAAAAAUAUGGCAUAUUAUUAGAUCAAGGUCAAUCCUGUGAUGCUACAUUCAAAACUAACAAAUGUGUAAGUGUAUGCCUACAGGAGACAGAGCGUGAUAUAUCAAGACAGAGUCAAUGUAAGUAACAACAUAACUUUAUGACUUUAUUAUACUGCAUCACGAGUAAAUAUUAGCAGGAAAGCAACAGUAUGUCUGAAUGACGAACACUAUGUGUAAUUCACUAUUUCAACAUAUUCAACAAACUGCGAGAUCACAAUUUAUAUCGUGUAUUUCUAGCCUGUGAUGCUACAUUCAAAACUAACAAAUGUGUAAGUGUAGGCCUACAGGA